rnacentral:ncRNA from 1 species
AAUUGCUAGGGGAGCUUAAGGCUGAGAUUGAAGAGCUAAUCUUCUAACCCUUACUACUUGAAUCGGAUAAUACCGACGUAAGGAAGCAG